GGCAGAUUUUUGAGAGAAUAAUAUUCAAAUUUUAGAGAAUAGUAGUUAUGAAUCCGUCCUCAAUAAAAUAAUUAAGAACCCUGGCAAGAGGAAACGAGAUGAUUCAGUCGAUGAUCCUGACCAACCUGGACCUUCAAGGAACGAAUCAAAUUCAUCAGAAAAACCUUCACCAUCCUCUUUGCAUCCUGUAGAUACUCCCUCCACCUCCACCUCCCACCUGCCACAGCCUGGAUCUAGUUCAGAUGAAACUAUUCAGUUUCUCAAGCAAAUAUUUCCCUUGAAAUCAGAACAGGAACUCAAGGAUAGUUUAUCAGAACAUCCUGGAUUAGGAAGAGAUGCAUUGGUCUCACUUCUGCUGGAUGAUUCAGUGGAUGGAAUUGAGCCUGAACCUGAGAAACCAAAUGGGUUAAAACUGACGGAAUUAACAGCUAAUAUAACCCUGGAUGUCUCAGUGUCUCAGCAAGUACUCGAUGAUUCUGAUGUUGACGAAGUUGUGUCGAGUGCAGAUCAGGAUACUGCAUUUAACAAUCUUUGCGGAAUAUUCCCCCACCUUGAUCCAGAAUAUUUAAAGG